CUGGGUCCUGGCCUCGGGCCUCCACCCAGCCCCUCCCGGCGCUCUGGGAAAAGCCAGUCGCCACACACAGGCACACGCAGGCCCCGGGGCCGCGCCCUAAGGAGAGCGGCACCCAAGGCCAAUUGCCAUGGCAACCCCGGGUUCGUUCCAUCCCCCCCCCGCCGAUCCCCCCCGCCUCCUGCCUGAGCUGCAGCCAACCGGCUUGUGCGCGUCCCAGGAGCGCGCUAUAAAACCUGCGCGGUGGCGCUGGGGAGAGCCGAGCCCGACCUGGAGCGGGACGAGCAGAGCCAAUCUCAGACCUGGAAAGUCUUGUGAAAGCGGCAGGACAAAGCCUGAACAUGCAGAGAGCGCAGAGCCUGCGCCUCGGUCUGCCCAAGCGGUGCCUCUGCCUGGCUUUCCUGCUCCUCCAUCUCCUGGGACAGGUCGCUGCGACUCAGCGCUGCCCUCCCUCGUGUCCGGCCCCCUGCCCCAAGAAGCCGCCGACCUGCGCCCCCGGGGUGAGAGCGGUCCUGGACGACUGCUCCUGCUGCCUGGUGUGCGCCCGCCAGCGCGGUGAGAGCUGCUCGGUGAUGCUGCCUUGCGAGGAGAGCCGCGGUCUCUUCUGCGACCGCCGAGCCGACCCCAGCGCCCAGACCGGCAUCUGCAUGGGUAACCUUGCCCGCUCCGCUGCCUGACCUCCUGUCCCUCGCCCAGCGAAGCUGCCCGCUCUUCCCUCUCCCCUUCCUCCCGCUCCCCAGCCGGUGAUGCGCAAAUACUAAUUACGGGAUGCAGUGGGUGAUGUUCAUGGAGCUGUGUGCGCCAGCCUUGGUCUGGGGGCGCUUGGGGUCUUUGGAGAACGCCAGAAGCUGGGAACAAAACCUGCCGGCGGAGGGGGGAAGCGUUCAUUACUUGCCUCCCCAGAGAAGAAUCUAGAGAGACAGGGAGCAGAGCCCAGUGAGGGACCAGUGAAGUCAUUUCCUUUGGACGUUUCCAGGGGACGCUUGGGGGUGAUGGAAGCAUGGGCUUAC
rnacentral:lncRNA from 1 species